UACGUAGGUGGCAAGCGUUGUCCGGAUUUACUGGGCGUAAAGGGAGCGUAGGCGGAUGUUUAAGUGGGAUGUGAAAUACCCGGGCUCAACUUGGGUGCUGCAUUCCAAACUGGAUAUCUAGAGUGCAGGAGAGGAAAGUGGAAUUCCUAGUGUAGCGGUGAAAUGCGUAGAGAUUAGGAAGAACACCAGUGGCGAAGGCGACUUUCUGGACUGUAACUGACGCUGAGGCUCGAAAGCGUGGGGAGCAAACAGGAUUAGAUACCCUGGUAGUCCACGCCGUAAACGAUGGAUACUAGGUAUGGGGGAUUCGAUUCCUCCGUGCCGCCGUUAACACAAUAAGUAUCCCGCCUGGGGAGUACGGUCGCAAGAUUAAA
rnacentral:rRNA from 1 species